CCUACGGGUGGCUGCAGUGGGGAAUAUUGCACAAUGGGGGAAACCCUGAUGCAGCGACGCCGCGUGAGCGAUGAAGUAUUUCGGUAUGUAAAGCUCUAUCAGCAGGGGAGAAAAUGACGGUACCUGACUAAGACGCCCCGGCUAACUACGUUCCAGCCGCCGCGGUAAUACGUAGGGGGCAAGCGUUAUCCGGAUUUACUGGGUGUAAAGGGAGCGUAGACGGCGGUGCAAGCCAGAUGUGAAAGCCCGGGGCUCAACCCCGGGACUGCAUUUGGAACUGUGCUGCUAGAGUGUCGGAGAGGCAGGCGGAAUGCCUAGUGUAGCGGUGAAAUGCGUAGAUAAUAGGAGGAACACCAGUGGCGAAGGCGGCCUGCUGGACGAUGACUGACGUUGAGGCUCGAAAGCGUGGGGAGCAAACAGGAUGAGAUACCCCGGUAGUC
rnacentral:rRNA from 1 species